rnacentral:tRNA from 1 species
GCUUGAGUAGUUUAAUUGAAAAUAUUGAUUUGUGGUGUCAAUGAUGUAAAAUUUACUUUAGGUU